rnacentral:rRNA from 1 species
UGAUCAUGGCUCAGGACGAACGCUGGCGGCGCGCCUAACACAUGCAAGUCGAACGAGAGAUGAGGAGCUUGCUCUUCAAAUCGAGUGGCGAACGGGUGAGUAACGCGUGAGGAACCUGCCUCAAAGAGGGGGACAACAGUUGGAAACGACUGCUAAUACCGCAUAAGCCCACGGCUCGGCAUCGAGCAGAGGGAAAAGGAGUGAUCCGCUUUGAGAUGGCCUCGCGUCCGAUUAGCUAGUUGGUGAGGUAAUGGCCCACCAAGGCGACGAUCGGUAGCCGGACUGAGAGGUUGAACGGCCACAUUGGGACUGAGACACGGCCCAGACUCCUACGGGAGGCAGCAGUGGGGAAUAUUGCACAAUGGGGGAAACCCUGAUGCAGCGACGCCGCGUGGAGGAAGAAGGUCUUCGGAUUGUAAACUCCUGUUGUUGAGGAAGAUAAUGACGGUACUCAACAAGGAAGUGACGGCUAACUACGUGCCAGCAGCCGCGGUAAAACGUAGGUCACAAGCGUUGUCCGGAAUUACUGGGUGUAAAGGGAGCGCAGGCGGGAGAACAAGUUGGAAGUGAAAUCCAUGGGCUCAACCCAUGAACUGCUUUCAAAACUGUUUUUCUUGAGUAGUGCAGAGGUAGGCGGAAUUCCCGGUGUAGCGGUGGAAUGCGUAGAUAUCGGGAGGAACACCAGUGGCGAAGGCGGCCUACUGGGCACCAACUGACGCUGAGGCUCGAAAGUGUGGGUAGCAAACAGGAUUAGAUACCCUGGUAGUCCACACCGUAAACGAUGAUUACUAGGUGUUGGAGGAUUGACCCCUUCAGUGCCGCAGUUAACACAAUAAGUAAUCCACCUGGGGAGUACGACCGCAAGGUUGCAACUCAAAGGAAUUGACGG